rnacentral:rRNA from 1 species
UACGGAGGGUGCAAGCGUUAUCCGGAUUCACUGGGUUUAAAGGGUGCGUAGGUGGGUCUGUAAGUCCGUUGUGAAAGCCCCGGGCUCAACCUGGGAAUGGCAGUGGAAACUAGGGGACUGGAAUCUGGCAGAGGGGGGUGGAAUGCCGCGUGUAGCAGUGAAAUGCGUAGAGAUGCGGCGGAACACCGAUGGCGAAGGCAGCCCCCUGGGCUGAGAUUGACGCUCAGGCACGAAAGCGUGGGGAGCAAACAGG